rnacentral:rRNA from 1 species
UACGGGGGGAGCAAGCGUUGUUCGGAUUUACUGGGCGUAAAGGGCGCGUAGGCGGCCAGCACAAGUCAGUUGUGAAAUCUCCGAGCUUAACUCGGAAAGGUCAACUGAUACUGUGCGGCUAGAGUGCGGAAGGGGCAACUGGAAUUCUUGGUGUAGCGGUGAAAUGCGUAGAUAUCAAGAGGAACACCUGCGGCGAAGGCGGGUUGAUGGGCCGACACUGACGCUGAGGCGCGAAAGCCAGGGGAGCAAACGGG